UACGAAGGCCCCGAGCGUUAUCCGGAUUUAUUGGGCGUAAAGCGUUAAACGGUGGCUUGGUAAGUACCUCGUCAAAUUCUGGGGCUCAACCCCAGAGCUGCGGGGUAAACUGCCUGGCUUGAGGUCGGAAGAGGCAAGCGGAACUACCGGUGUAGUGGUGAAAUGCGUUCAUAUCGGUAGGAACACCAAAGGCGAAGGCAGCUUGCUGGUACGAUCCUGACGCUAAAUAACGAAAGCGUGGGGAGCGAAUGGG
rnacentral:rRNA from 1 species